AAUUAAUAAAUUAUGCACUUAUCAUGGAGAUAUUAUGUGAAGUUAUGCUAUUCGAAAAUAUUCACCACAUUCCUUCUUCAAUUUCCUAAUGAGAUGACAUAAGCCAUCCCAACCCUUGCCAUUCCUACAUCAUCACCGUAUCAAACAUUACCUAAGCCUGAAAUGCCCAAUUUGGAAUUAGCAGAUAUCUCUCCUUUGAAGACGAUUCCUUUUCCACAAACUUAAAUGGCACUGCCAUCACUUAUUCAACUCAGACAACUUUUUGUACUAAUCUUUCCUCUUUAAACAAGGGAUUGAGAUCCUAUCAACCAUCCAUUUUAUUCUUUUAAACCAACCUUUGAAAUAAAUGUUACAAAAUUUUUACAAGGCUUGUGAUAUCCAGAGGCUUUAUGUACAAAUUGAAAGAAAAAGAGAGAAAAUAAAAAAAGAAACCUGCAAAAAUCUCCCAAAUUAGU
rnacentral:misc_RNA from 1 species